UACGUAGGGGGCAAGCGUUGUCCGGAUUUAUUGGGCGUAAAGGGCGCGUAGGCGGCAUGCCGAGCCCGGGGUGAAAGCCCCCGGCUCAACCGGGGAAGUGCCUUGGGGACCGGCGUGCUCGAGGGGGGUAGGGGUCGCGGGAACUUCGGGUGGAGCGGUGAAAUGCGUUGAUAUCCGAAGGAACGCCGGCGGCGAAAGCGGCGCACUGGACCCUUACUGACGCUGAGGCGCGAAAGCCAGGGGAGCAAACGGG
rnacentral:rRNA from 1 species